UACGGAGGGUGCAAGCGUUAAUCGGAAUUACUGGGCGUAAAGAGUGUGUAGGCGGUGUUCUAAGUUUGUCGUGAAAUCUCCCGGCUUAACUGGGAGGGUGCGGCGAAAACUGGAAUGCUAGAGGAUGGGAGAGGUAAGCGGAAUUCCUGGUGUAGCGGUGAAAUGCGUAGAUAUCAGGAGGAACACCUGUGGUGUAGACAGCUUACUGGACCAUUUCUGACGCUGAGACACGAAAGCGUGGGUAGCAAACAGG
rnacentral:rRNA from 1 species